rnacentral:rRNA from 1 species
UAGUGGCGGACGGGUGAGUAACGCGUGAGAAUCUGCCCUCAGGAGGGGGAUAACGGCUGGAAACGGCCGCUAAUACCCCAUAUGCCGAGAGGUGAAAUGAAUUUCGCCUGAGGAUGAGCUCGCGUCUGAUUAGCUAGUUGGUGUGGUAAAGGCUCACCAAGGCUUCGAUCAGUAGCUGGUCUGAGAGGAUGAUCAGCCACACUGGGACUGAGACACGGCCCAGANUCCUACGGGAGGCAGCAGUGGGGAAUUUUCCGCAAUGGGCGCAAACCUGACGCAGCAACGCCGCGUGAGGGAUGAAGGCGUCUGGGCUGUAAACCUCUUUUAUCAAGGAAGAAGAUCUGACGGUACUUGAUGAAUAAGCCACGGCUA